rnacentral:rRNA from 1 species
CAUGCAGUCGAACGCUUCUUUUUCCACCGGAGCUUGCUCCACCGGAAAAAGAGGAGUGGCGAACGGGUGAGUAACACGUGGGUAACCUGCCCAUCAGAAGGGGAUAACACUUGGAAACAGGUGCUAAUACCGUAUAACAAUCGAAACCGCAUGGUUUUGAUUUGAAAGGCGCUUUCGGGUGUCGCUGAUGGAUGGACCCGCGGUGCAUUAGCUAGUUGGUGAGGUAACGGCUCACCAAGGCGACGAUGCAUAGCCGACCUGAGAGGGUGAUCGGCCACAUUGGGACUGAGACACGGCCCAAACUCCUACGGGAGGCAGCAGUAGGGAAUCUUCGGCAAUGGACGAAAGUCUGACCGAGCAACGCCGCGUGAGUGAAGAAGGUUUUCGGAUCGUAAAACUCUGUUGUUAGAGAAGAACAAGGAUGAGAGUAACUGUUCAUCCCUUGACGGUAUCUAACCAGAAAGCCACGGCUAACUACGUGCCAGCAGCCGCGGUAAUACGUAGGUGGCAAGCGUUGUCCGGAUUUAUUGGGCGUAAAGCGAGCGCAGGCGGUUUCUUAAGUCUGAUGUGAAAGCCCCCGGCUCAACCGGGGAGGGUCAUUGGAAACUGGGAGACUUGAGUGCAGAAGAGGAGAGUGGAAUUCCAUGUGUAGCGGUGAAAUGCGUAGAUAUAUGGAGGAACACCAGUGGCGAAGGCGGCUCUCUGGUCUGUAACUGACGCUGAGGCUCGAAAGCGUGGGGAGCAAACAGGAUUAGAUACCCUGGUAGUCCACGCCGUAAACGAUGAGUGCUAAGUGUUGGAGGGUUUCCGCCCUUCAGUGCUGCAGCUAACGCAUUAAGCACUCCGCCUGGGGAGUACGACCGCAAGGUUGAGACUCAAAGGAAUUGACGGGGGCCCGCACAAGCGGUGGAGCAUGUGGUUUAAUUCGAACCAACGCGAAGAACCUUACCAGGUCUUGACAUCCUUUGACCACUCUAGAGAUAGAGCUUCCCCUUCGGCGCAAGUGACAGGUGGUGCAUGGUUGUCGUCAGCUCGUGUCUUGAGAUGUGGGUUAGUUCCGCAACGAGCGCACCCUUAUGGUAAUUGCAUCGUUAGUUGGAAAUCUACCGGACGCCGCGACAAACGGAGGAAGGGGGGGGCGGCGAGGGGAAGCCCCUCCACGGGGGGCCACAUGCGGGGGCGGAGUGUAGAUAUCGCAAUAGCAGGGGGGCGGCGU